GACGAACGCUGGCGGCGUGCCUAAUACAUGCAAGUCGAACGCUUCUUUCCUCCCGAGUGCUUGCACUCAAUUGGAAAGAGGAGUGGCGGACGGGUGAGUAACACGUGGGUAACCUACCCAUCAGAGGGGGAUAACACUUGGAAACAGGUGCUAAUACCGCAUAACAGUUUAUGCCGCAUGGCAUAAGAGUGAAAGGCGCUUUCGGGUGUCGCUGAUGGAUGGACCCGCGGUGCAUUAGCUAGUUGGUGAGGUAACGGCUCACCAAGGCCACGAUGCAUAGCCGAUCUGAGAGGGUGAUCGGCCACACUGGGACUGAGACACGGCCCAGACUCCUACGGGAGGCAGCAGUAGGGAAUCUUCGGCAAUGGACGAAAGUCUGACCGAGCAACGCCGCGUGAGUGAAGAAGGUUUUCGGAUCGUAAAACUCUGUUGUUAGAGAAGAACAAGGACGUUAGUAACUGAACGUCCCCUGACGGUAUCUAACCAGAAAGCCACGGCUAACUACGUG
rnacentral:rRNA from 1 species